GCUGGCGUAGCUCAGUUGGCAGAGCAGUUGAUUUGUAAUCAUCAGGUCGCAGGUUCGAAUCCUGUUCUCGGCUCCA
rnacentral:tRNA from 1 species